rnacentral:rRNA from 1 species
AAUAUUGCACAAUGGAGGAAACUCUGACGCAGCGACGCCGCGUGAGCGAUGAAGGUCAUCGGAUCGUACCGCUCUGUCCUCAGGGAAGAAGAAAGUGACGGUACCUGAGGAGGAAGCCCCGGCUAACUACGUGCCAGCAGCCGCGGUAAUACGUAGGGGGCAAGCGUUGUCCGGAAUUAUUGGGCGUAAAGGGUGCGUAGGCGGCUUUUUAAGUCAGAUGUGAAAGCCCGCGGCUUAACCGCGGAACUGCAUUUGAAACUGGAGGGCUUGAGUGUCGGAGAGGGUAGUGGAAUUCCCAGUGUAGCGGUGAAAUGCGUAGAUAUUGGGAGGAACACCAGUGGCGAAGGCGACUACCUGGACGAUAACUGACGCUGAGGCACGAAAGCUAGGGGAGCAAACA